UCACCUCACUCACAACCUCACAUCCCCAUUCCCCCAUUUCACAUAGUUGACGACCCCUCUUCCUUGUCGACGCUGCUUUUAUAAGAAAAACAAUUGAUUUAUCCAUUUCAUCAACCGCUGCUUUUGCAAUCACACCAAAAACACUUCUCCACGGAAGAGGAAGCUGCUUUCUGCUUUCUUCAUAGUUUUUUUAUACCUAAAUUAAGCUUUGGUUCGCCCACAACUCCAACUCCCGUGCAGCGUAGACUUGUCGUGGACUCGGUUUCUAGAGUUUAGGAAUGACGAACCAAUCUGCUUUUUCAUCAUCACCUUCGUCAUUACCGGGUCUAACACCAUCACCACAAACUCUAUGUAUGAAACUUUAAUUUUUUAGCACAUUCCUUACUAAUUUGAGUUGUAAGAUAUAUAAUUUUGAAUUCAACGAAUAAGAUAUAUAUAUAUAUAAUUAACUAAUACAUGAAGGAGAUCACAUGGGAUAAUUAAAUUGUUUGAGAUCAUGUUUUGUAUAGCUAGUGUAAUGAAAACAAAUUUCAUGGUGCUCAAAACUUUGUUGACCAAUUGCUCUUAGCGCAUGUUUGUAUCACUAGUGUAAUGAAUACAAAUUACAUGGUGCUUAAAUUGUUUGA